GAUGAACGCUGGCGGCGUGCCUAAUACAUGCAAGUCGAGCGAACGGACGAGAAGCUUGCUUCUCUGAUGUUAGCGGCGGACGGGUGAGUAACACGUGGAUAACCUACCUAUAAGACUGGGAUAACUUCGGGAAACCGGAGCUAAUACCGGCUAAUAUUUUGAACCGCAUGGUUCAAAAGUGAAAGACGGUCUUGCUGUCACUUAUAGAUGGAUCCGCGCUGCAUUAGCUAGUUGGUAAGGUAACGGCUUACCAAGGCAACGAUGCAUAGCCGACCUGAGAGGGUGAUCGGCCACACUGGAACUGAGACACGGUCCAGACUCCUACGGGAGGCAGCAGUAGGGAAUCUUCCGCAAUGGGCGAAAGCCUGACGGAGCAACGCCGCGUGAGUGAUGAAGGUCUUCGGAUCGUAAAACUCUGUUAUUAGGGAAGAACAUAUGUGUAAGCAACUGUGCACAUCUUGACGGUACCUAAUCAGAAAGCCACGGCUAACUACGUG
rnacentral:rRNA from 1 species